rnacentral:rRNA from 1 species
UACGUAGGGUGCGAGCGUUGUCCGGAUUUAUUGGGCGUAAAGAGCUCGUAGGCGGUUUGUCGCGUCGGCCGUGAAAUCUCCACGCUUAACGUGGAGCGUGCGGUCGAUACGGGCAGACUUGAGUUCGGUAGGGGAGACUGGAAUUCCUGGUGUAGCGGUGAAAUGCGCAGAUAUCAGGGAGGAACACCGGUGGCGAAGGCGGGUCUCUGGGCCGAU